rnacentral:rRNA from 1 species
GACGAACGCUGGCGGCGUGCCUAACACAUGCAAGUCGAACGGAAGUAAGUGCUUCGGUAUUUACCUUAGUGGCGAACGGGUGAGUAACGCGUGGGUAACCUGCCUCAUGCAGGGGGAUAACAGUUAGAAAUGACUGCUAAUACCGCAUAAGCGCACGGAUUCGCAUGUUUCUGUGUGAAAAGAUUUAUCGGCAUGAGAUGGACCCGCGUCUGAUUAGGUAGUUGGUGGGGUAACGGCCUACCAAGCCGACGAUCAGUAGCCGACUUGAGAGAGUGAUCGGCCACAAUGGAACUGAGACACGGUCCAU